ensembl:snRNA U1 U1 spliceosomal RNA
AUACUUACCUGGCAAGGGAGAUACCAUGAUCAAGAAGGUGGUUCACCCAGAAAACAGCUCAGCCAUUGCACUGAGGCUGUUGCUGACCCGUCAUCAAUUCCCCAAAUGUGGGAAUCUCGAUUGCAUAAUUUCUGGUAGUGGGGGACUGCGUCGCUCUCCCUGA